rnacentral:rRNA from 1 species
CCUACGGGUGGCAGCAGUGAGGAAUAUUGGUCAAUGGGCGCGAGCCUGAACCAGCCAAGUAGCGUGAAGGAUGACUGCCCUAUGGGUUGUAAACUUCUUUUAUCAAGGAAUAAAGUGCGGCACGUGUGCUUUUUUGUAUGUACUUUAUGAAUAAGGAUCGGCUAACUCCGUGCCAGCCGCCGCGGUAAUACGGAGGAUCCGAGCGUUAUCCGGAUUUAUUGGGUUUAAAGGGAGCGUAGGUGGGUUGUUAAGUCAGUUGUGAAAGUUUGCGGCUCAACCGUAAAAUUGCAGUUGAUACUGGCAGCCUUGAGUACAGUAGAGGUAGGCGGAAUUCGUGGUGUAGCGGUGAAAUGCUUAGAUAUCACGAAGAACUCCGAUUGCGAAGGCAGCCUGCUAAACUGCCACUGACAUUGAUGCUCGAAAGUGUGGGUAUCAAACAGGAUUAGAUACCCGAGUAGUC